rnacentral:rRNA from 1 species
GAUGAACGUUGGCGGUGUGCCUAAUACAUGCAAGUCGAACGGUGAUCUUAUGGGAGCUUGCUUCCAUUUGAUUAUAGUGGCGAACGGGUGAGUAACGCGUUGGUGAUCUGCCUCGAAGUGUGGAAUAACGUUCCGAAAGGGACGCUAAUACCGCAUGUGCUCAAGGUUUUUAGAAAGCUUUGAGUAAAGGAUUUAUUCGCUUAGAGAGGAGCCUGCGUCCCAUCAGCUAGUUGGUAAGGUAACGGCUUACCAAGGCUAUGACGGGUAGGGGACCUGAGAGGGUGGCCCACCACAAUGGAACUGAAACACGGUCCAUACACCUACGGGUGGCAGCAGUAGGGAAUAUUAGAAAUGGGCGAAAGCCUGAUCUAGCGACACCGCGUGUGCGAUGAAGGCCUUCGGGUUGUAAAGCACUUUUUGGAAGGAAUAGGAAGGAAGGUACUUCCAGAAUAAGUCUCGGCUAACUACGUGCCAGCCGCCGCGGUAAAAC